GAUGAACGCUGGCGGCGUGCCUAAUACAUGCAAGUCGAACGAAACUUCUUUAUCACCGAGUGCUUGCACUCACCGAUAAAGAGUUGAGUGGCGAACGGGUGAGUAACACGUGGGCAACCUGCCCAAAAGAGGGGGAUAACACUUGGAAACAGGUGCUAAUACCGCAUAACCAUAGUUACCGCAUGGUAACUAUGUAAAAGGUGGCUAUACUACCGCUUUUGGAUGGGCCCGCGGCGCAUUAGCUAGUUGGUAGGGUAAAGGCUUACCAAGGCAAUGAUGCGUAGCCGAAUUGAGAGGUUGAACGGCCACAUUGGGACUGAGACACGGCCCAAACUCCUACGGGAGGCAGCAGUAGGGAAUCUUCCACAAUGGGCGAAAGCCUGAUGGAGCAACGCCGCGUGGGUGAAGAAGGUCUUCGGAUCGUAAAACCCUGUUGUUAGAGAAGAAAGUGCGUGAGAGUAACUGUUCACGUUUCGACGGUAUCUAACCAGAAAGCCACGGCUAACUACGUG
rnacentral:rRNA from 1 species